CCGAGUUUACAACUCCCAAACCCCUGUGAACUUAUACCUUUUACCGUUGCUUCGGCGGGUUCUCGCCCCGGAACAGGUUCUUCCUGCCCGGAACCAGGCGCCCGCCGGGGGACCUAAACUCUUGCUUUAAACAGUGGCAUACUCUCUGAGUCUCACAAACAAAAAAUGAAUCA
rnacentral:misc_RNA from 1 species